rnacentral:piRNA from 1 species
CAGAAGUGAAGAAAUGGGAUGAU